UGGGGAAUUUUGGACAAUGGGCGCAAGCCUGAUCCAGCCAUGCCGCGUGCAGGAAGAAGGUCUUCGGGUUGUAAACUGCUUUUGUACGGAGCGAAAAGCCCCUGGCGAAUAACCGGGGGUCAUGACGGUACCGUAAGAAUAAGCACCGGCUAACUACGUGCCAGCAGCCGCGGUAAUACGUAGGGUGCCAGCGUUAAUCGGAAUUACUGGGCGUAAAGCGUGCGCAGGCGGUUUUGUAAGACAGAGGUGAAAUCCCCGGGCUCAACCUGGGAACUGCCUUUGUGACUGCAAAGCUGGAGUGCGGCAGAGGGGGAUGGAAUUCCGCGUGUAGCAGUGAAAUGCGUAGAUAUGCGGAGGAACAGCGAUGGCGAAGGCAAUCCUCUGGGCCUGCACUGACGCUCAUGCACGAAAGCGUGG
rnacentral:rRNA from 1 species